UACAGAGGUCUCAAGCGUUGUUCGGAUUCAUUGGGCGUAAAGGGUGCGUAGGCGGCGCGGUAAGUCGGGUGUGAAAUUUCGAGGCUUAACUUCGAAACUGCAUUCGAUACUGCCGUGCUUGAGGACUGGAGAGGAGACUGGAAUUUACGGUGUAGCGGUGAAAUGCGUAGAUAUCGUAAGGAAGACCAGUGGCGAAGGCGGGUCUCUGGACAGUUCCUGACGCUGAGGCACGAAGGCCAGGGGGGCAAACGGG
rnacentral:rRNA from 1 species